rnacentral:snoRNA from 1 species
GGAGAAGCGAAGUGAUGAGCAUUACUAGCUGGAGCCCCAAAGAGGCACGUGUGUGUGUGUGUGUGUGUAUCUGUAUCCUUGUCUGUGCAUGCACACGUGUGUCUGGGAGUGUGAAUGUGUGUGACUGGUUGUAGGGAACUAGUUAUGUGCCUUGUGUUGGACCAUGACAGUCAAACUGAUAAGAUCUGAUUGCUUC